rnacentral:rRNA from 1 species
GACGAACCGAGCGAACGUUGUUCGGAAUCACUGGGCUUAAAGGGCGCGUAGGCGGCUUCUUAAGUCCUGGGUGAAAUCCUCCAGCUCAACUGGAGAACUGCCUCGGAUACUGGGUGUCUCGAGUGUGGUAGGGGUAUGCGGAACUAUCGGUGGAGCGGUGAAAUGCGUUGAUAUCGAUAGGAACUCCGGUGGCGAAGGCGGCAUACUGGACCACUACUGACGCUGAUGCGCGAAAGCCAGGGGAGCAAACGGG